UACGGGGGGAGCAAGCGUUGUUCGGAUUUACUGGGCGUAAAGGGCGCGUAGGCGGUCGUGACAAGUCACUUGUGAAAUCUCCGGGCUUAACUCGGAACGGUCAAGUGAUACUUUCGGACUAGAGUACAGAAGGGGCAACUGGAAUUCUCGGUGUAGCGGUGAAAUGCGUAGAUAUCGAGAGGAACACCUGCGGCGAAGGCGGGUUGCUGGGCUGAUACUGACGCUGAGGCGCGAAAGCCAGGGGAGCGAACGGG
rnacentral:rRNA from 1 species